GAUGAACGCUGGCGGCGUGCCUAAUACAUGCAAGUCGAGCGAACGGACGAGAAGCUUGCUUCUCUGAUGUUAGCGGCGGACGGGUGAGUAACACGUGGAUAACCUACCUAUAAGACUGGGAUAACUUCGGGAAACCGGAGCUAAUACCGGAUAAUAUUUUGAACCGCAUGGUUCAAAAGUAAAAGACGGUCUUGCUGUCACUUAUAGAUGGAUCCGCGCUGCAUUAGCUAGUUGGUAAGGUAACGGCUUACCAAGGCAACGAUGCAUAGCCGACCUGAGAGGGUGAUCGGCCACACUGGAACUGAGACACGGUCCAGACUCCUACGGGAGGCAGCAGUAGGGAAUCGUCCGCAAUGGGCGAAAGCCUGACGGAGCAACGCCGCGUGAGUGAUGAAGGUCUUCGGAUCGUAAAGCUCUGUUAUUAGGGAAGAACAUAUGUGUAAGUAACUGUGCACAUCUUGACGGUACCUAAUCAGAAAGCCACGGCUAACUACGUG
rnacentral:rRNA from 1 species